rnacentral:rRNA from 1 species
CCUACGGGUGGCAGCAGUGAGGAAUAUUGGUCAAUGGACGAGAGUCUGAACCAGCCAAGUAGCGUGAAGGAUGAAUGCCCUAUGUGUUGUAAACUUCUUUUAUCUGGGAAUAAAGUUGAGGACUUGUCCUGUUUUGUAUGUACCAUAUGAAUAAGCAUCGGCUAACUCCGUGCCAGCAGCCGCGGUAAUACGGAGGAUCCGAGCGUUAUCCGGAUUUAUUGGGUUUAAAGGGAGCGUAGGCGGACUCUUAAGUCAGUUGUGAAAGUUUGCGGCUCAACCGUCAAAUUGCAGUUGAUACUGGCGGUCUUGAGUUGAGGAGAGGUAGGCGGAAUGCGUGGUGUAGCGGUGAAAUGCUUAGAUAUCACGAAGAACUCCGAUUGCGAAGGCAGCUUACUGGAUUGUAACUGACGCUGAGGCUCGAAAGUGUGGGUAUCAAACAGGAUUAGAUACCCUUGUAGUC